AUAAAGUAAAAUAUUUGGAUGACACACUAAAAUAACUCGAAGGCAAAAAAGAUAGCAAGAUCGGCUACCGAAACUCUCGUCUGAUAGGGAAAGUUUCUGGGUUGGCACCCUUUUUUGGUUUGUAUUCUACCGCGACAAUGGCUACUGCGGGUUCAAUGCUGGAUCAAAUUCUCCAUCAUCAAAUUAUUCCGAGCAGGCAAUUUCUUAUUGCUCAAAUCUGGUAAUGUCAACCCCAUAUUUGCCUUCAGUUUUUAUCUUUCACCAUUAAUUUGCCCACUUGCCUUUUCGUGACCUUAGAUCAACAACAGUAAUGCUUCUUCCAUUUGUUGAGAAGAUGAUUUUAUUUCCGAGGGAUCUUGGAUUAUUUGCGUGACUUGCAAUUACAAACCAACAAGCCGACCACCUUUAACUAGCUUUUAUUUCAAAACAAUAAGCAUGUUACAAUAAAUACUCUCUUCUUCUUCUUCUUCUUUCGUUUUUUCUUUUUUUAAC
rnacentral:lncRNA from 1 species